rnacentral:rRNA from 1 species
UAGGGAAUUUUCGUCAAUGGGCGCAAGCCUGAACGAGCAAUGCCGCGUGAACGAGGAAGGUCUUCGGAUCGUAAAGUUCUGUUGAAGGGGAAAAAGAGCGGAGAGAGGAAAUGCCUUUCUGAUUGAUAUUACCCUUCGAGGAAGUCACGGCUAACUACGUGCC